rnacentral:rRNA from 1 species
CCUACGGGGGGCAGCAGUGGGGAAUAUUGCACAAUGGGGGAAACCCUGAUGCAGCGACGCCGCGUGAGUGAAGAAGUAAUUCGUUAUGGAAAGCUCUAUCAGCAGGGAAGAAAAUGACGGUACCUGAGUAAGAAGCCCCGGCGAACUACGUGCCAGCAGCCGCGGUAAUACGUAGGGGGCAAGCGUUAUCCGGAUUUACUGGGUGUAAAGGGGGCGUAGACGGCAGUGCAAGUCUGGAGUGAAAGGCGGGGGCUUAACCCCCGGACUGCUCUGGAAACUGUACGGCUGGAGUGAAGGAGAGGUAAGGGGAAUUCCUGGUGUAGCGGUGAAAUGCGUAGAUAUUAGGAGGAACACCAGUGGCGAAGGCGGCUUACUGGACUGUAACUGACGUUGAGGCUCGAAAGCGUGGGGAGCAAACAGGAUUAGAUACCCCUGUAGUC